UUACAACAAAUUUACCUCAACUAUGUGACUUUCAUCAUUAACACCUGUUUACACCAAGGACGAUAACGGUAACGAUAUAGUUAAAAAAAAUUAAGUAAAUUCUAAAUCUAAAAGAAUAGGGACAAAAAGAAUUAAACUAAUUAAGGUAUCUAUUUUUGGUGUUUAUGAGCUGUGGUGUCUAUUUUUAAUGUUUUAGCAAGUGAAGAAAUAAUGUAAACAUUUCUU